UGUCGCUAACGGGGUCCAUCUUUUCUUUGUCUGGCUUACGUACUGAUGCAAGCAUUUCUAUCGAGUUCGCAUUUUAACAUACGUUACGGCCUGGAUUUUCUUGAUAAAAUCUGUAAAAACAUAUAAGUUUGGGUGCAGCUGCUCAGAAAUGAGGUGGAUAGCGUUACAGUGUGCAUAUAUAUGUACUUAGUCUGUAGGCUAAGAAUGUAAGACAUUCGUCAUCAGAAGGAGCGUCAGACAUAUUGUCAAACGUGAAGCAGUCAUUGAUUUCAUUUGGGGGAAGGAAUGGUAACCCGAAAAAAUGGGGUAGCCAUUUACCAAUGAUGCUUAAUUUGUCUUUAUACUCUGUGCUCAGCCCAUGUAAAUGUAUUAACUUACCUGUAACUUACCUGUAAAUCCAAUUAGGAGAAAAAAUAAAAUCG
rnacentral:lncRNA from 1 species